rnacentral:sRNA from 1 species
CCGCAUGUCUGCGAUACGAGGAAGUGUCUGCUGAUACCGUCACACAAUAGUCUGUCUACAACUCUUAGUCCACAUUCAAGUUAGCCAGACGUGAAUACGUUCACGAAUCAGGAGUCUGUAGAAAACAAUUUGUUGCCUUGUAUUUUAUUACAUCCUUAAAGGAUAUAUUUGAGAGUCCCAAGAAAUCGAGGGUCUCUGUGUGUCAGAUUUCACAGUUAUCUAACACAGGACGUAACACUUGUCUUCGUCACACGUUAGGGCUUUUUUUCCCCCCUGUAUUCUCAAUGAUGUGAAGAUAAAGAUUGCUUUUGGAGUGGCUCGGUUUUGAUUGUCUGCGUUUAAAGCUUCUGGGCUGGAUUAGUUUGGAGUGGCUCCGUACAGGGGAAACCAUAAUAAAAGACAGAACGUUAGCGUGUUUCGUUUGGACUUAGUGAUAUAUAUAAAAGACACACACACACAGACACGCCAAAACGAUGAGACAAUGUCGGCCUAUUUCACAAUAGAAAUGUCUACCAUGAGUACACGGGAGACCAAGCAUGACAAGAAAAUGUAUCCAGUUUCAAUCUAAACAAUUCAGACCUAAUCCUUGAUCCUUGUGGAUUCUUUUAGAAGAUUAAAACGUAAUUUAACAAAACGUU